CAAACGCAGGCUCACGUGGUUGGCCCAGAGCUGCCUGGAGCUCCGGCCUCCCUGCCCUCGGGUGGGCUGCUUGGAACCUAGUGCAAAGGGCUCUCUGUGCCCCGAGUAAGAGAUCGGAUUAAAGGUUUUAUACAGGCUUUUUGUCCACAGGUCCGUGCGGCACACUCCCUGAUCUGAGGUGCCCGUUGUCCAGAUGUUUUGCUGAAAUCUCUUGGAGCUGGGUGGGCACAUCAUGCCGACUGCUGCAGAGGUUGCUCCACGUGAAAGCAUGUGCCGUGAGGCUCUUGUUACCUGCUCAGUAGAGUCAGUGGCUCUCUCCCCUGCGAUGCUGUGAGCCAAGACACUCGAGAUAAAAAUCAACUAAGAACUUCGCGCCAGCCCGGGGGAGGCACGACGCCCAUUCUCUGAGCAUCGCUGCUCGCUGUUGCUGUGGUGAUGCCCCUGCGCGAAGCGUGAGGCCCAUGGUGUGGCUGGAAUGAUGCAUCGUGGAUGACUGUGCUCCUAGUUGACAGGUGGCAUCUGUUGGGACCCAGUGGUGUCACACUUUGCUGUGCAGGUGUGAGAAUCGCUGCUCUCGUUCUUGCAGGAGUUGGAAAGGAAACUUUGCCUUUCUGUCUCCGAGGCUGCCUGCAGCCUGCUGGGCUCUGCUUGCUGCACGUGGGCCAACCCAGAGGCCAUUUCCCCAGCCGGUGGAUCUCAAUCUUCCAUGGGCUCCGGACUCACUUGGGGCCUGUGUUACACUGCAGAUGUCACUGUGCCACCCCCACAGCUCUGGUUUUCAAUUUCUGGGGCAGGGCCCCAUGUGUCAAGAGAUACUGUGCCCAAGCUUUGUAGUCAGAAGUGACUCCGCAGGUUCAUAAGACUAAGGGAAAGGAGCCCUACAGCUGGGAAGAAAAAGGGUAGGUGCCUCCUCUUGUCACUGCUGUGCGUUGGCUAUAUGUGUGCAAUGCUCUGGGGGCCAAACGUGCUAGGUGAUGUUCAUUUCUUUACCACCUACUAGAUGCCAAUGCCCAUGCUAUGUGCUGGGAAAAUAGCAAUGAGCAAGAAAUAGCUCCCGUUGCAUGAAAUUCACAGUCCAGUGUGUGUGGGCACACAGACAAACGCAAACCAACUACAACAAACAGAGACAAAUGAUGCAAUAAUGUAGCAUGAGCCCAGCUUGAAGCAAUUCAUCCAUCUGAAGAGUCAUGGCAUAACAAUAUUACCUUUUAUUGAGCAGUUACUAUGGCCUGGACUUUGUCUUCCACACUUUAAGUAAAUUUAUCACAACCACUCUGCAAAGAAGGUAAGGAAACAGAUCUAGGUUGUUAAGGUAGUUGGCACAAGGCCGCCCAGUUUAUGAAGAGCAGAGCUGAAAUGUCAUGGCCAAGGACCACGUUCUUAACAGCUAUAUUAUGAAGUCUUUCUAGAGAGAGGGGGCCUAUUAUUUACUGAACAUCAGCUAUGUGAAGGGGUCCCUUAAUUGAAGAUUCAUGACAUUUUCUGAGGGUGGCAGGAACUCUGUAAGGAGAAACAUUGUGAGCACUUGCAGGCCAGGCACACCUGUCCGCAUGACAACAUCAUGUCUAUUCACCAGAGCCUGAACAGAUAACAGGUGUGCUGGGUGUUAACACCCUUAGACUUCCUGCUGGCCAGGUGGGGCGCAUCACCUCCACUGAUAGCUUCCCGGUCAGUUUACCCAGUGAUACUGUUUGGAUAUUUGUCUCCUCCAAAUCUCAUAGUGAAAUUUGAUCCCCAGUGUUGGAAGUGGGACCAGGUGGGAGGUGUCUGAUGCCCUCCCUGUGAUAAUGCAUGAGUUCUCACUCUAUUAGUUCACACAAGAGCUGGUUGUUUGAAGGAGCCUGGCACCACCUCCUCCCUGUUUUGCUCCUCCUCUCUCCGCGUGACAUGCCUGCUCCCCCUCCUCUUCCGCCUUGACUGGAAGCUUCCUGAAGCCCUCACGAGAAGCAGAUGCUGGCGCCAUGCUUCCUGUACAGUCUGCAGUACCAUCAGCCAAAUAAACCUCUUUCCUUUAUAAAUUACCCAGCCCCAGCUAUUCCUGAUAGCAACGCAAAGCAAACUAAGACACACAGCAUGCCCAUAACGUGGGCACACACUGCCCUGGUCUCUGUCGCCUUGCCUCUGUGAGCAAUGGGUGCAGCGUGGAUGGCAGCUGUCUCAGCCUACAGGUAUGACUGGGAACUGCAGUUUGUGUUUGCAUCCUCUGGCCACUCUUGAAUGUGAGUGGGGUCCUCCCCGCAUUCCUCAGAAUCAAUUCAAUCAGGCUGGUGCAGGAGUCAGAACGACCCACUUCCCCAAGGCCCAAUUGCCAUCCCUCUCCCUCGCUUUGCACACAUUUUAUCUGUUAGGGUUUCGGUUGAAGACACCCUUCUUCACUUCCUCUCCUAAAAACAGUCACAUCUUGUGUCCCAAGAAGAAUGUCUGCUCCAGUAUUAGCCAUGUGUCAUGGGGGGUCCCCAGCACCUCAACUUGAAGAUGGGCUGCAGGGCCUGAUCUUUAAUCAAUGUGUAGUUUCCAUUUGUUCUUUUAUAAGCUAUAACUUGGGGCCAAUUAUAUUUUAAAUAAAAAAACCCCACUUCUUUUUCUUUUACUAGGUUCAUCAAAAACAGGAAGUCAAAGGGCUGAAUAUUCUUCCUGUGAAUCAACAGAGAAAGCUCUCUCAUCUGAAUAGACAACCUAGGGCCACUUACUCCCAGCGACAGUAAGAAUGGAGGGCUGCAAGCUGGACCCCUCAGUAUCAGGCAGGCAGGUGUCCCUUUCGUAAGCCUGGGGUGCACAGAAUAAAGGGCACGCAUGGCAGACUGGAGUGGCAGAGCAGGGACAGGUAGCUUCAUCCCAGGGUGUUAUAAAUAAGGUGACAGGAAGUGCUGACUAGCAGAUCAGAGGCAUCAUUCAUCUCAGUAGCAGUCAAACUGGAAUGACAGUCUUGGGCUUUUUGGGGAGCUAGUGAGAGAGGUGGCUGGUGUGGGGGUGGCGGGGGUCUAUGUAGGAGACAGGUGCAUUUCAACACCUCGUGCGAAUCAAAAACACACACACCAUUGUUCCAUGACUCAUGUGGCCUCACUGAUUCAGUCCAACACUGAGUCACAGGUCACUAAUUUGUGAUUAGCGAUUAACCAGUGACUCACAAGUAUCAAGGAAAAGGGAUCGAUAUGGUUUCACACCAUUCCAUGAUGUCACUGGGGUUGCAAGACAAUCCUUUCUUGGCUUUAAGGCAGUUGCUUGGCAGAGAGGAGCCAUGCAGCACGCUCUUGUCCGAAC
ensembl:lincRNA